UGGGGCGUCGCCAAGUGGUAAGGCAGUGGAUUUUGAUUCCACCAUACGGAGGUUCGAAUCCUCCCGCCCCAGCCA
rnacentral:tRNA from 2 species